rnacentral:rRNA from 1 species
GAUGAACGCUGGCGGCGUGCCUAAUACAUGCAAGUCGAGCGAACAGACGAGGAGCUUGCUCCUCUGACGUUAGCGGAGGGCGGGUGAGUAACACGUGGAUAACCUACCUAUAAGAGGGGGAUAACUUCGGGAAACCGGAGCUAAUAGCGGAGAAGAUAUUGAACCGCAGGGGUGGAUAGUGAAAGACGGUGUUGCGGGCACGUAUAGAUGGAUCCGCGCCGCAUGAGCUAGUUGGUAAGGUAACGGCUUACCAAGGCAAGGAUGCGUAGCCGACCGGAGAGGGUGAUCGGCCACACUGGAGCUGAGACGCGGUCCAGACUCCUACGGGAGGCAGCAGUAGGGAAUCUUCCGCAACGGGCGAAAGCCUGACGGAGCAGCGCCGCGUGAGUGAUGAAGGUCUUCGGAUCGUAAAACCCUGUUAUUAGUGAAGAACAAAUGUGGAAGUAACUAUGCCCGUCUUGACGGUACCUAAUCAGAAAGCCCCGGCUAACUACGUG